CCUAUGGGUGGCAGCAGUAGGGAAUAUUGCUCAAUGGGGGAAACCCUGAAGCAGCAACGCCGCGUGGAGGAUGAAGGUUUUCGGAUUGUAAACUCCUUUUGUUAGAGAAGAUAAUGACGGUAUCUAUAGCAUAAGCACCGGCUAACUCCGUGCUAGCAGCCGCGGUAAUACGGAGGGUGCACGCGUUACUCGAAAUCACUGGGCGUAACGAGCGCGUAGGCUGGAUGGCAAGUCAGAUGUGAAAUCCUAUGGCUUAACCAUAGAACUGCAUUUGAAACUGUUAUGCUAGAGUAUGGGAGAGGUAGGUGGAAUUCUUGGUGUAGGGGUGAAAUCCGUAGAGAUCAAGAGGAAUACUCAUGGCGAAGGCGACCUGCUAGAACAAGACUGACGCUGAGGCGCGAAAGCGUGGGGAGCAAACAGGAUUAGAUACCCCAGUAGUC
rnacentral:rRNA from 1 species